rnacentral:rRNA from 1 species
AUGUCGCGCACCUUGCGCUCGCGCACGCCGCGCGCGGCGGCGAGGCCACGCGGCGAGAAUAUGUGCGAGGCCACGAUGCCGCGCAGCGUCUUCCAGAGCGGGUCGGAGCUGGGCAGCCAGAUCAUGGACCGCCCGGAGUUGCCGACCGCGUUGGCGGCGUCCGGGACCGCGCGCGCGGCCAGGUGGCGGUCGUACCUGGUGUAG